rnacentral:rRNA from 1 species
CCUACGGGUGGCAGCAGUGGGGAAUAUUGGACAAUGGGGGAAACCCUGAUCCAGCAAUACCGCGUGGGUGAAGAAGGCCUUCGGGUUGUAAAGCCCUUUAGGCGGGGAAGCGGUACCCGCAGAAUAAGCACCGGCUAAUUCUGUGCCAGCAGCCGCGGUAAUACAGAAGGUGCAAGCGUUAAUCGGAUUUAUUGGGCGUAAAGGGCGCGUAGGUGGUAAAGCAAGUAAGAUGUGAAAGCCCCGGGCUUAACCUGGGAAGUGCAUCUUAAACUGCUUAACUAGAGUAUGGUAGAGGGUAGUGGAAUUUCCGGUGUAGCGGUGAAAUGCGUAGAUAUCGGAAGGAACGCCAGUGGUGAAGACGACUACCUGGCCAUACUGACACUGAGGCGCGAAAGCGUGGGGAGCAAACAGGAUUAGAUACCCUUGUAGUC